rnacentral:rRNA from 1 species
UACAGUAUUGGAGCCUCUAGAGUUUGAUCCUGGCUCAGUAGGUCCUAACAAGGUAACCAGUAUUGGAUCCUCUAGAGUUUGAUCCCGGCUCAAUAAGACUGAACAAGGUAACCGGAUUUGGAUCCCCUACAGUUUGAUCCUGCGUACCGAAGGGUUCGAUAGUGAAAGAUGGUUUUGCCCUCACUUAUUUAUGGACCCGCCCCGUAUUAGCUAGUUGGUAAGGUAACGGCUUACCAAGGCGACGAUACGUAGCCCACCUGAGAGGGUGAUCGGCCACACUGGAACUGAGACACGGUCCAGACUCCUACGGGAGGCAGCAGUAGGGAAUCUUCCGCAAUGGGCGAAAGCCUGACGGAGCAACGCCGCGUGAGUGAUGAAGGUCUUCGGAUCGUAAAACUCUGUUAUUAGGGAAGAACAUACGUGUAAGUAACUAUGCACGUCUUGACGGUACCUAAUCAGAAAGCCACGGCUAACUACGUGCCAACAGCCGCGGUAAUACGUAGGUGGCAAGCGUUAUCCGGAAUUAUUGGGCGUAAAGCGCGCGUAGGCGGUUUUUUAAGUCUGAUGUGAAAACCCACGGCUCAACCGUGGAGGGUCGUUAGAAACUGUAAAACUUGAGAGCAUAAAAGGAAACUGUAAUUCCUUGUGUAGGGAUGAAAUGCCCAUAGAUAUGGAGGAACACCCUGCUAAAGGCUACUUUAUGGGCUGUGUCGGUGGCUGAUGUGCAAUAGCGUGGGGAUAAACGUGAUCUGGAAAAUUGAGUGCAGAAGAGGGAAAGUGGAAUUCCAUGUGUAGCGGCGAAAUGCGCUGAGAUAUGGAGGAACACCAGGGGCGAAGGCGGCUUUCUGUUUUGUAACUGAUGCUGAUGUGCGAAAGCGUGGGGAUCAGACAGGAUUAGAUAUCCUGGUAGUCCACGCCGUAAACGAUGAGUGCUAAGUGUUAGGGGGUUUCCGCCCUUUAGUGCUGCAGCUAACGCAUUAAGCACUCCGCCUGGGGAGUACGACCGCAAGGUUGAAACUCAAAGGAAUUGACGGGGACCCGCACAAGCGGUGGAGCAUGUGGUUUAAUUUGAAGCAACGCGAAGAACCUUACCAAAUCUUGACAUCCUUUGACAACUCUAGAGAUAGAGCCUUCCCCUUCGGGGGACAAAGUGACAGGUGGUGCAUGGUUGUCGUCAGCUCGUGUCGUGAGAUGUUGGGUUAAGUCCCGCAACGAGCGCAACCCUUAAGCUUAGUUGCCAUCAUUAAGUUGGGCACUCUAAGUUGACUGCCGGUGACAAACCGGAGGAAGGUGGGGAUGACGUCAAAUCAUCAUGCCCCUUAUGAUUUGGGCUACACACGUGCUACAAUGGACAAUACAAAGGGCAGCGAAACCGCGAGGUCAAGCAAAUCCCGUAAAGUUGUUUUCAGUUCGGAUUGUUUUCCCCAACUCGAGUAAGUGGUAACAGGGUAACCAGUAAUGGUUCCUCAGCAUUUUAAUCCGGGUUCGGUAAGUGGUAACAAGGUAACCAGUAUUGGCUCCUCUAGAGUUUGAUCCUGGCUCAGUAAGUCGUAACAAGGUAACCAGUAUGGUCCUCUAGA